rnacentral:rRNA from 1 species
ACGGGAGGCAGCAGUGGGGAAUAUUGCACAAUGGGGGAAACCCUGAUGCAGCGACGCCGCGUGAGUGAAGAAGUAUUUCGGUAUGUAAAGCUCUAUCAGCAGGAAAGAAAAUGACGGUACCUGACUAAGAAGCCCCGGCUAACUACGUGCCAGCAGCCGGGGUAAUACGUAGGGGGCAAGCGUUAUCCGGAUUUACUGGGUGUAAAGGGAGCGUAGACGGUUUUGCAAGUCUGAAGUGAAAUGCGGGGGCUCAACCCCUGAACUGCUUUGGAAACUGUAGAACUAGAGUGCAGGAGAGGUAAGCGGAAUUCCUAGUGUAGCGGUGAAAUGCGUAGAUAUUAGGAGGAACACCGGUGGCGAAGGCGACUUACUGGGCCGUAACUGACGCUGAGGCGCGAAAGCGUGGGGAGCGAACAGGAUUAGAUACCCUGGUA